rnacentral:lncRNA from 1 species
AUGGAGAGGAAAAGAGUUCACAUUCAGCGCUCAAAUCCCUCCACUUUGACGAGCGACCAGUUCAGCCUCAUCCUGGCGGAUACCAACAGUGACCGACUCUUCACAGUGAACAAUGACACUGAAGGCGCAAAGUAUGGCAUCAUCAGCCUGAGUGGACUGAAGACUCCUGCACUCAAGGUGCAAAUGCUUGAGAACUUUUACUUCACCAGCCGUAAGCUGGCAGUCAAGCCAAUCGUGCCAUCUUGCUGUGUGGUUCCUCACCAGGUGAAUUCUGUGUGCUGGGCCUCGCUGAACCACUUGGAUUCCCACGUUCUGCUGUGCCUCUUGGGAUUUGCACAGACUCCAGGCUGUGCCACUUUGAUCCCAGCGUCGCUGUUCACCAGUAGUCACCCAGAGAGAACCUUAACCUGGCACAUGGCUGAAUUCACUUUGCAGUUUCUCGUGGAGUGUGUAGACCGGCGUGGCAUGCUUUGCAGUUUCCGGAUCCCUGGCGCCUGGUCCUGUGCAUGGUGCCUGAACAUCCAGGCAAACACCUGCUUCAGUACCGGCUUGUCUCGGCGAGUCCUGUUGACCAAUGUGGUGACAGGACACCGGCAGUCAUACAGGACCAACAGUGACGUCUUGGCCCAGCAGUUUGCUGUCAUGACUCCUUUGCUGUUUAAUGGCUGUCGCUCUGGGGAGAUCUUUGCCAUUGAUCUUCGUUCUCGAAGUCAAGGCAAGAGCCGUAAGGCCACCCGCCUAUUCCAUGACUCAGCAGUGACCUCUUUGAGGAUUCUCCAGGAAGAACAAUCAGUGAUGGCAUCAGACAUGGCUGGAAAGAUCAAGCUGUGGGACCUCAGGGCCAUGAAGUGUAUAAGGCAAUACGAAGGUCACGUGAAUGAGUACGCCUGCUUGCCUUUGCAUGUGCACGAGGAAGAAGGAAUCCUGGUGGCAGGUCUUGUGUACAGAAGUGAAGCCUGGUCAGAAGAGGCAGGUCACUAGGGCUACGACCUAGAAGGGUAUAUUCUUGUCCCCAGCCCCUCCCUUCUCUGCUUCCUGGCUGCCAUAGGAUGAGCAGCAGUCCUCUACCAUGCCAUUUCUGCCUUGGAACCAACUUACCAUGGACCAAAUCCUCUGAAAACGGUGAGCCAAAAUAAACCUUUCCUCCUUUAAGUUGUGGGUGUUGGAUAUUUUGUCCCAGGGACAGGAAAGUUACUGAUACAGAAAAUUGGUACCAGAGAAGUGGGGUCAUUACUGUGACUACCUAAGCAUGUGGUUUAGAAACCUCUGGAACUAGUUUGUGGUAAUUUGGAAAGAUUAGGAGAUGCAGGCUAAAGAAGCUCCAUAAAUGCUGUGAACAGAACUUGAUGGGUGAUUCCAGUUGAGACUCAGACCAGAAUGUUAAUAGAGGUCCAGGGAUUUAGCUCAUUUGUUCCGCCACCAGCCUUGCAGGCGCAAGGUCCCAAGUUUGAUCCCUGGUGCCCAAAACAAACAAACAAAAAAUGUUAAUAGAAAUUUGGACACUAAAGGCCAGGCUCAUGAGGUUUCAGUUGGGAACAAGGCCUCUACUGGAAACUGGACUAGAGACUGUGUGUUACAUUCUUCCAAGGAAUCUGUCUAUAUUUUGCCCAUGUACAAAGACUUUGCAGGAAACUAAGGUUAAGGACAAUGGAGUAACUAACCUGGGAGAGUAAAUUUCAAGACAGCAUAAUAUUCAGGCUAUGGCAUGGGUACUGCUGGUGCUUUUUGCUAGACUUGGGCAAAAACUUGAAAUUUUGGCCUGUAAAUCCUAGCACUUGGGAGGCUGAGGCAGGAGGAUCACCAGAAAUUCAAGGCAGCCUGGGCUAGUGAGUUCAAGGUCAGGCUAUACUACAUAGCAAGACCCCCUCUCCAAAAAAAAAGUGUUUUUGGUCCAAAAGUUGAGGAAAAACUAGGUGUGGUUUCUGAAGAGAUCAGUAGCACCAAAAAGCAGCUAGGUACUUUGCACUGGGAUGAUAGUUAAGAGUCCUUGAAGGGAUCUCAGGAAAUGGCCAAACUCCUUUGAAACACUUUGCUUUGAGAGCCCCGUGGCACCAUACUCAUUCAGACCCACCCAGAGAAGUGUUUCUCCAAGUUGAACCAUCUAAGCAUUCCGAGCCCUCUGCAGCUGUAGUCCAAGCUGCUCAAGCUGGCAGCAGUCCUUCACAUCAUCCACAUGGUACUGGUUUUUCAGGCAUGCAAAGUGUAUAAAUUGUGGGGUCAUGGAGAUUUCCACCCAUAUUUGAAAAGGAAGGCCUGGAUGGCCAAGCAGUCUACCCUGGAGAAAGGAGUACACAAAGCUGAGGGAAGCCAAAAGAACAGUGAAGACUCCAGAAGUUGAAGAUGGCAGGAAUGUGGAGUGUCUGCUAUGGAAAACCACAGCCAGUGAGCAUGGCCAGCCUGAGAAGCCAUGUGGCAGCAACUGACAGUGCCACAGGGGGAGGGCUGUGUAAGCCCUAUGGAACACAGGUCACCACCACCUGCUCUGGCUGCUGGGCAUGGAGCCACAGGAUUUAAUGUUUGCCCUGCUGGGUUUCAGUCUUGCUUUGGUCUAAUUCCUUUGUAUCUCCCUAUUCCUUUUUGCUUAUCCUGUCUCUUUUUAUGUGUUUAAGUAUUUAACUUUUUUAUUUUCAAGAAGACUCAACUAGGUGCCCGCCAGUGAGGCCGGACCGUAGGGAGCCGCGCAGAGCCUCUCUACUGCCGUGAUCCCAGGGCUCUGAGCCGACCUGCCCGGGCACAGGAUGCCAGGGCCAAUUCAAGGGGUGAGGAAAAGUCGGGGUUGAAGCCCCGCUGUGCUGGGGCCGCCAUCCCUGAAGAAAUGAGUGGUGGCUUGGCUCCAAGUAAGAGCACAGUGUAUGUGUCCAACUUGCCCUUCUCCCUGACAAAUAAUGACUUAUACCAGAUAUUUUCCAAGUAUGGCAAAGUUGUAAAGGUUACUAUAAUGAAAGACAAAGAUACGAGGAAGAGUAAAGGGGUUGCAUUUAUAUUAUUUUUGGAUAAAGGCUCUGCACAAAACUGCACCAGAGCCAUAAACAACAAACAGUUGUUUGGUAGAGUGAUAAAGGCAAGCAUUGCUAUUGACAAUGGGAGAGCAGCUGAAUUCAUCCAAAGCAGAAACUACGUGGGGAAAGUGGACACUUAAAUUAUGCCUGUCCGAAAAAUAUGCUCAGAGAAUGUGAGCCUCCAAAGAAGAAAAAGAAAAUUGCCGAACCGGAAGAAAUCGAGGAUGAAGCAGAAAGUGAAGACGAAGGAGAAGACCCUGCUCUCGAGAGUCUCAGCCAAGCCAUCGCCUCCCCGCAAGCCACGACUGAAGAACAGAACCAAUGGAACCCAGUGCAGGGGGACCCUCCACGUCAGAGGUUUCACGGCGCCCAAGGAUAAAGAAGAGCACAUACUUCAGUGAUGAAGAAUUUAGUGAUUGGAGUUGUAUAAUGUAGAUGUCAGGAAAAUAAAAACUAAGUGCAGUACAAAUUAUUUGCCUAUAGGAACACUUAAUAUCAAAUAUUUUUUACCGUAAUACAGUGCAUAGAAAAUAAAAAUAAAAAAUAAUUUUUAAAAGUAAAAAAAAAAAAAAAGAAGACUCAACUAACAGUUUUCUUACAUCUCAGAAGAGACUGAACUUGACUUUUUAGCGAUGCUGGAACUGUUAAGACUCUAGCAACUCUUAGAGACAGACUAAAUUCAUCUUGCAUGAGAUGGGCAUGAACCUUCUGAAAGGCAGAGGUAGAAUGUUGAUUUCUAGGCAGAGGUAGAAUGUUGAUUUCUAUCUAAAAUGUCUCCCAAAAAUGUUUGGAGGUGGGGCCUGGUCACUAGGGACAUGACAAAGGUGUAUUCUCAUCCGUGGCUGCUCCCUUCUCUGCCCCCUGGCUACCACAGGGUUAGCAGAUUCCCUCCACCGUGGUGUACUGCCAUGCCAUUUGCCUUGGACCCAACCAACCAUGGACUGAGUCUACUGAUAACUGUGAACCAAAAUAAACCUUUCCUCCUAAGUUCUGUGACGUAUUUUCCAGCCACCUUUCACCCCUUCCCCCCAAACCAUUCCCACCCUGCCCCACUCAUCCAGAAAAUGAGAGAAGGCUGGAAGGGAGUAGGAAAGAGGAAGAUAAGGGAAAAGGCAAUGGAGCAAGGGAGCAGGGAAAGGGACAGAGUCCAAUGUUGGUGGCUACAGAGAAUGGGGAAAUGAUAGACGACACAGGAGUCAGACAAACAAGGCAAGGGAGGAGAAGCAAAAGGAAGUCCCACAUUAAAAGGUAGAAAGUAAUUUUCAGUGCCUCCAUAGGUUAUUAAUUACCUGUUUAAUGAUGAUUUGGACCUAACUACCUGCUGCUCGGACUUGCAACACAGGAACAUGGGUGACAGUAUGGCCUUAUGGCAGCGUCUUCUACACUACAGUAUUGGGGUUUUUGUUGUUUUCUGUUGGUUUCUAUGGGUUGCUUUUGUGUGUGUGUUGUGUGUGUGCUUUAUUGUCCUGGGGAUUGAACUCAGGGCCUCACAUAUGCUGGGCAAGCCCUCUAAUACUGAGCUACAACCCCAGUCCUGUGUCGUUUUUUGAGACAGGGUCUCAUUAUGUAGCCCGGGCUGGCCUCAAACUCACACCAAUCCUCAUGCCUUGGCCUCCAGAGUGCUGGGAUGACACACAUGAGUCACCACACCUGGCUUUAGUACUGUACCUUUAUGUUCUCCUAUACAUUACAGUACUGCAUGUAAGAGUUACGCAAAUAAAAGCAAAGUCAUCAAAUUGGUGUUUCCUGUGGUCAUUUCUUUGUUCUAAAUAUUGUAACGUACGUACCAUGUAAAAGUCCUCAUUUAGUGACCAAUUCUGCUAACAACCUGGUCACAGGACUGGAACUGCCAUUAAAUGAGGAGUGCCAGUACCUACUGUAUACCUGGAACCUAUGUAUCAGGAGUAAUACCCCACCUCGUCCUUUGAGUUUCCCCACAAGCCCCAACACCAUGGCUACCAAAGGGAAGCCCAGAGACCCCAAGAAGCUGCGGCCACUGUGCUGCAGUACCCGACUCACUACCUUACUGGCCCACUUGAGGCCAGGACAGCCUAGCUAGACCCCUUUGGCACU